rnacentral:rRNA from 1 species
AUGAACGCUGGCGGCAUGCCUUACACCUGCAAGUCGAACGGCAGCAUGACCUAGCUUGCUAGGUUGAUGGCGAGUGGCGAACGGGUGAGUAAUGCAUCGGAACGUGCCUUUUAGUGGGGGAUAACGUAGCGAAAGUUACGCUAAUACCGCAUAUUCUCUGAGGAGGAAAGCAGGGGACCUUCGGGCCUUGCGCUAGAAGAGCGGCCGAUGUCGGAUUAGCUAGUUGGUGAGGUAAAGGCUCACCAAGGCAACGAUCCGUAGCGGGUCUGAGAGGAUGAUCCGCCACACUGGGACUGAGACACGGCCCAGACUCCUACGGGAGGCAGCAGUGGGGAAUUUUGGACAAUGGGCGCAAGCCUGAUCCAGCCAUGCCGCGUGAGUGAAGAAGGCCUUCGGGUUGUAAAGCUCUUUCGGCUGGGAAGAAAUCGCACCCUCUAAUACAGGGUGUGGAUGACGGUACCAGCAUAAGAAGCACCGGCUAACUACGUG